UUUUGACAAGUGAAAAAAAAAAAACCAACACUGAGGGCUCUUAGCUCUGUGGCUGUAUUCAGAAUUGGCUUAGACUGUUGUGAGAGUAGCCAUCCCUUUGUGAAGACCCUAUAAGUGUAAAAAAUAGACUCGAAUACAGGACUACAAUCCCCAUGAGCCUUUGCUCCACUUCCCCAGAAUGCCUUGUAAUCUCACCUGGGCCGAGAUCGAGAAGAUAUUUAAGCAAAGGCUUUUGAAGGGCUCGGGCCCUUUUUUGGACUUCCGCGUUUGGAGCAGAGGCGUCUCUUCCAUGAUGUGAGGUUAUUUUGUCUAGGCCUCUGGCCUAGGCACAUGUUUCUUACUUGUAUAUUCUUAAUCUUUAACCUUUAAUAAACCUCUAAAAAAUAUAUAUUCCUUGCAGAGAGAAACUAAUUUCUACCUGCCUCAGUCUCCCCCUCUCCCUUAAAUUUUAAUCUUUACAGUUAUGGCGACCUAAUGGGAAAAAGAACUUUCAGUCUUCUGAUUUCUUUUCUGAUCUUAAAUUCAAUUUUAAUAGCUAGUACCUAGAAAGCGGCCCCGCCGCUUCCUGCCUGCAGCCUGCAGCCCUGAUCAUCCUCACCUGGUACCUGGUCCCGGCCUUGCCCACCCCCGCAGCCGCUCCUGCUCCUGGCCUCUCACCAGCCGCUGCCUGCCUAUUUCUGUGCCCCAGACCCAGGAGCCCGACCCAGCCGGCUCAUCACCCAGAUCCUUGGAGCAGAUCGCUCAGGACUCAUUGCGACCAGCUGUGAUCAUGGCCAGAUACAAAGAGGAAAUGGAUCUCAUUUUUUGGUGAGAAAGCCUUGUAUUUUAUAUUUUCUUAACUGACACAGAGUGUCAAUGGUUAUAAGCUAUAUUUUUAAAUUUUUUAAAGCUCUUUUAUUAUUAUAUUUUUCUUGCAUGUGCAAUAUACUUUUUCAGUUUUUUUUAUUAUUUUUUCUUUCCUUUUUAUAUUUGAAGCACAUGUCACCAGUAUUAAGAUUUUCUUUAACUUUUUGACUUUUCAGUGCUACAAGUUUGAAAUACAUUUGCUAAUGCAUGCCCUAGAAAGCUUGUGACUAUAAAAAUUAUGCCACUAAUUAUUUAAAUAAAUUAUGGGACUUUGCUUAAUGAUUCUGUCUGAUUCUAGGACAAGAUAUACACAAAAGAGCCACUGCAUAGUGCCAAUAGAGCAUAAGGUCAAAGAGACCAACCAAUCCUGGAGAAAUUGACGUCACUUUGAGCCUAGACAAAGAGGACUUGAACGUGUUUGGGGUUCGAGGUUGCGGCUGUUUAACAUGUGUUAAAAGCAGGUCUUCCUUGUUCCACAUUCUACCAAGUACCUCAAACUUGGCUCCCGGAACCUUGGCUUAUAUACUCUGGUCCCCUUUUCUGCCUCUCAUAGUGUGGUAACUUUCUGUAGUCCUGGCUACUGACUGGGUAAAUGCAUCAUUACUUAGAUCAUUUUGAUUGGGCCCUGAUUCAAGGACCUGUUAUAGAUUUAUUUUUCUUCUACUUGGAAUUUUUACACAUAAGACUUUGAUAGUCUAUAUUUUCAUCCAGAAAUUUUUCUUUUCUUUUGGAUUUUCUGGUGUCUUUUUAAUAUCUCUUGCCAAUUGAUUCAUAUACCUCAUACCUCAGCCAUGCAUCCCUAACUGAUUCUGAAUCUUUCAAUCACCCACAACACGGGGGAAUGUAAAAAAUAUCAUUAUUUAAAUUGCAAGUUUAAAUUCCUUUUGAGAAGAAUUUUAGGUGAAGAAGAUGCUACCUCUCUGAAUCCAGAACUGAACUGUUGGAGAAGCCACCAUGAAGAAGCCUCCAGACCACAAGUUGCACAAAAUUGAACUUUGGGUGUGGUUGAUUGAACAUUUAUUUGUAUGUAUACUUUUAUGCCAAAGGGGACUGCCCCCUAACGGCUUUUUGUCAAUGUGUUCAGAAAUUAUUGGUUUUAUUCUUUUUUCUCUUAUCCUCACACUAUUGUAAUCUUUUAAGUUUAUUAUGUUUUUAUGAUCCUUUUGGGGAAAAAUUAAUUUUUCCACAAAUGAUCACACGGGGGGAUGUAAAAAAUAGACUCGAAUACAGGACUACAAUCCCCAUGAGCCUUUGCUCCACUUCCCCAGAAUGCCUUGUAAUCUCACCUGGGCCGAGAUCGAGAAGAUAUUUAAGCAAAGGCUUUUGAAGGGCUCGGGCCCUUUUUUGGACUUCCGCGUUUGGAGCAGAGGCGUCUCUUCCAUGAUGUGAGGUUAUUUUGUCUAGGCCUCUGGCCUAGGCACAUGUUUCUUACUUGUAUAUUCUUAAUCUUUAACCUUUAAUAAACCUCUAAAAAAUAUA